UGGGGAAUAUUGGACAAUAGGCGAAAGCCUGAUCCAGCAAUGCCGCGUGAGUGAUGAAGGCCUUAGGGUUGUAAAGCUCUUUUACCCGGGAUGAUAAUGACAGUACCAGGAGAAUAAGCCCCGGCUAACUCCGUG
rnacentral:rRNA from 1 species